rnacentral:lncRNA from 1 species
CGGCAAAAUUAGCUAAGAAUUUUGUGCUUAGUCCAUCAGUUGUACUAGUAUUAAACAGGUAAUUUAGUUCACAAUUUGCCAUCAACUGUUUUAGAUCGUUAUACCAAGUGUUUUGGAAAAAACGGAGUCCCAUACCAAUAUUUGGUGUGGCAAUCUAUUGGAAUUCAUACUCAUGAUUCGAUGCCAAAGUCUAACGAUAUUACAACGCCUACGAAGAUAGAGAGGUGUCCAACCCAUGUGACCACAAAUUGCUGGAUUCAGUGCACUUUUUCCG